rnacentral:lncRNA from 1 species
AUAUCUUCCUAGAAACCAUUUGUUCCAUUAUCUGUCCUUUUUCUUUUGAAAGUUCAUGUAGAAGUAUGUUAGGUUUUCUCAGAGUAGUCCUUUUUCCGGUUCUUCUGUUCUGUUGUGUAUUUUCUGUUACUUUCUCUUUCAUAGUUUAUUCUGGAUUUUUUUCCAGACUUCUAAGUCUCAUUCUUUUUUUUAGUUGGAUCCAGUUUGUUAUGAAACCCAUCCAAGGAAUCUGGGACGAUGAACUGAGCCACCGUUGGGCACUUAACCAACCAAACUACCCAGGACAAUUUCCUCAUGGGUAGUAAACCCAAAAGAGACAAAACACAAGCUACCAACUGGUGGUGAUUCUGUACGUAGGAUAAGCACCAUUGCUUCAGCCAUUGUAGAUGCAUCAGUGAGUACUG